CGCGGAGCCGGGCUGUGCAGACAGCAAGAUUUCCAGGCCCUGAGAGUUGCCGUAGCAGCUGCGGCCGGUGGAAAUGGGAGGGAGGGCAGGAGGAUCUGAUCUUGUCCUGACCCAGAGCUUCUCAUCUUGCCGGGAGUCCUUUAUUAGUGAGUGACGUGAUGUUUCAGGACAGCAUGGACGGAGGCAGAGAGCACAAGCAAUGCUGUCUGUGUAAUAUGGCUCUUAAUAAAUUGAUUUUCUGAGUUCCAGAGCAAAAGUCCCUUUUAAAAAAAUUUCUGAAGCUGACUUGAAGCAGGAAGAAGGUCUUCUGAUUUGGCCAAAAAUAUGACGAGUAUUUUAUAUCAUUGAAAAUUUGAAGGGUAAGUCUAGAGGGGGCCCUUUGUUGUCAACCGUUCCAGCCAAACUUGCCAUGAAGGGUUAGUUGAAGUAUCUCCACUUGACCAGCAGAGGGCACUUUACACACCUCUGCAUCGCUCAGGGAGCAGACGCAGAUGAUGCGGAAACACAGUGUUCACCCAAUAUCAGGAAGAGCCCUGCAGAUUUCUUUUUGAAAUUCACAAAAAUAUAGAAAAUAUGGACUGUACAACAGGGUUUCGUUUGGAAAGUCAUGAGUGUGUGUGU
rnacentral:lncRNA from 1 species